GUUGUAUUUUCAUUAAAACAUUUUUAAUUUAAAUAAUGUUUCAAUAAAGUUACUUUAAAAACGUUAACGUUACUUGAAAUGUUUAAAUAAUGUUCCUUGAAGAAUAAUUAUUUAUUGUAAAGAUGGUUGUAAAAGUUUUCAGAUAAAAAUAUUGGCAAGCAGUUGGACUAAAAUUAUAUUUCUAAAAAGAGAUCAAUCAUCGAGAUGAUAUUGAAUCCGGACAAUUCCUAUAACUCGCCGAUGUACCUAUUAACCCGAAUGUUUAAUGGAAACCUAUGGAAAAAUAUGACCAAGGCAUUUUAUGAAAAUACUGAUUCGUCAAAACAUUUACGGAAUAGCUGACCGAGCACGCGAUACUAAAAUCGACCAAGUUGUUGCCUUGAAAAAGGAAAAAUGGAACAUAAUAAAAAUUAUAACCGAUGAGCAAAGAAAUUUCAGUCGUUCUACUUCAUAAAGACAAAAUUGAUAAUAUAUAAUUUUAAUUGUACACAUACGUAUU